rnacentral:rRNA from 1 species
GACGGAGGGUGCAAGCGUUGUUCGGAUUGACUGGGCGUAAAGGGCGUGUAGGCGGUUGCCCAAGUCCGAUGUGAAAGCCCGAGGCUUAGCCUCGGAAGUGCAUCGGAAACUAGGCAGCUGGAGCGCGAUAGAGGAGGGUAGAAUUCCUGGUGUAGCGGUGAAAUGCGUAGAUAUCAGGAGGAACACCUGAGGUGAAGACGGGUUGCUGGGCUGACACUGACGCUGAGGCGCGAAAGCUAGGGGAGCAAACGGG